rnacentral:misc_RNA from 1 species
UCAAGAUGGCGGCGUAUGAUGGACACGCUACAAAACGACAGAGAACUGAUUCGGACGGCAGGGGAGUGCAAUCUGGAACAAGGGACAAGUUUGAUUUAGAUGCACAGGACAAGUAUGAUGAUCCACAUAAGCCACCUCCUUCCCCUGUGGUACAUGUGCGAGGAUUGUCAGACACUGUGAUCGAGGCCGAUUUAGUGGAAGCUGUUCAGCACUUUGGACCCAUCAGUUAUGUUAUCAUGAUGCCAAGGAAACGGCAAGCUCUAAUAGAGUUUGAAGAUAUUGAAGGAGCUAAAGCAUGUGUGAAUUAUGCACAGCUAAAUAAUAUGAUUCAUGUAGGAAAUUCAGCUGCCUAUUUUAAUUUCUCAACGAGUCAAAGAAUUUCACGACCAGGGGGAUCUGAAGACAACCGUAACACCAAUCAUAUCCUGUUGAUAACUGUUCUCAAUCCACGUUAUCCGAUUACAACAGAUGUGAUGCAUACCAUCUGUAAUCCAUUUGGCCCUGUACAGCGAAUCGUAAUUUUUAAAAAGAAUGGCGUUCAGACUAUGAUUGAAUUUGAUAAUGUAGACAGUGCUUCCCGUGCUAAGGCUUCGCUGAAUGGAGCUGACAUUUACUCAGGUUGUUGUACACUGAAAAUAGAAUAUGCUAGGCCAACUCGAUUAAAUGUUUAUAAGAAUGAUAAUGAAACCUAUGAUUAUACCAAUCCCACUCUUGGAACUGGAGCCAAAGAAAAGGGCAAUGCUUUGUUGGAAGAGCCUAGAGGAUAUAACAUGGGGGUGCAAGUGAAUCACAACCAAGGCAUGGGUGGAGGGAAUCAAGGUGGUGGAUACAACAAUUAUCAGCAUCCUAAUCAAAUGCAGAACAUGCAAGGGCAGUAUGGUAAUAACAUGGGAGGUGGAAAUAACAUGGGAGGUGGUGGUGGGCCUCACAUGGGUGGCGGCAACAUGGGCAACCAAAUGGGAGGCGGCAACAUGGGCAACCACAUGGGUGGUGGAAAUAUGGGCAACCAAAUGGGUGGUCAGAUGGGCAACCAAAUGGGUAACCACCAACCAAAAGGUAGUCCGGUUGUAAUGGUGUAUGGAAUGGAACCUGAAAAACUGAAUUGUGACAAGUUGUUCAACGUAUUGUGCUUGUAUGGCAGUGUUCUGAAGAUAAAAUUCAUGAAGAGUAAACCUGGCUGUGCUAUGGUACAAAUGGGAGAUGCCUUGGCUGUGGAACGAGCCAUUACUAAUCUGAAUAACGUGGUGGUCUUUGAAAAAAAAAUGCAGCUCGGGUUUUCAAAGCAAAUGUACAUUGCUGAUCAAAUGCAGCCGAGCGAUCUCCCAGAUGGAACGACAUGCUUUAAGGAUUUCUCACAGUCGCGGAAUAACAGGUUUUCUUCUCCAGAAGCAGCUUCAAAGAACGUAUCCAGCAACCGGCUAAAGUACUGCAUUUCUUCAAUGCCCAUCCAGACAGCACAGAAAGUACAAUUAGACAGAUUUUCAUUGAAAAUGGAGUUCAGGAUCCAAGCUGUGUGAAGAUGUUCAAGGCAAAAAGUGAACGUAGUUCUUCAGGCUUAGUGGAAUGGGACAACGUAUCAGAUGCUAUAGAGGCUGUUAUAUCAUGCAAUCAUGUGGAGAUGCCGAAUCCAAGUGGACGCUACCCAUACACUUUUAAGCUGUGCUUCUCUUCUGCCCUGCAUGCUGUAUAGAUGUAUCUGAUAAAACCUCUACAGAAAAUACUGCAACCUACCUCUACUAAGUCCCACUAGUUUGUACUAUAACUGUCAUUUAGAUUUAGAAUGUUGGCUUGUACAUAAAGUGCUAGAGUCCCAGCCUGAGUUCAUGCAGAUAUAACAGCCUAGUUACACAUGCAUAUAUCUGAUGAGGCCCUAUGCCAUUGUAUUGUUGUCUUGCAAAAUAAGAUUUGUCACUUUUGAAAUUUGUUUUUAAAAUAGAAACUAGAUAUCUGAACUUGUUACUGUUUAUCAGUUAUUCCUUGAAUAUCUUAAAUGUUGAAAUGUAACAUUUUAAAAAAAAAAUUGUUUUCCCAUUCACCAAUUCGUAAGAGGAAUAUUAAUUGCAACUAAUGAGACAAAUGUUUAAAGUUUAGAUAACAUGCUCUCGCAUCACUGCAACUAGAGAUGCACAUAUCACCACAAGUCCAAAGUGCUCUUGGUUAGGCUUUUCACAAUUUGUUUAUUUUAAUUUCUCAUCUCUUGAUAUAUUUUUUAAUCAUGGACUUGCUACUACAGUAGUGAUAGCAGGCUUGAGAAUCUAAUGGAUAGGCCUUGUAAGGUUAAUUUAGUAACUUUAUUAUCACCAACUAGUUGCUUGCGUUUAUUUUUAUCAGAAAAAAAAAAAUAAGGCUGUCUGAAAAAUCUGAAUCUUUUGGUAUAAAACAUCUGAUAUGUUGACAUUUAAAACAUGUGGGAAAAGAUAGCAAAGGAAAUAAACUUGCCAUAACCAUCAAAACCUUUUCAUAGAUUUUUUUUUCUAAAGGCAUUUGGUGGCAGUUUAUAUAAAUGUUAGCCAACCAUAGUGUCAGUGAUUUAUGGAAAAACAUUGUUUAUUUGUCUUUAAAUGAGUUGCAAAGCUGUUGAAUCGUAGCCUUAUUUGCUCAAAUACCCAAAACUACUGGACUAUACUAGUUGUUUUUUUUAAAUGUCCUUUACAUGUUAUAAGGUGAAAGUAAGUUGUACUUCUCUGUAUUAUGGCAUGUAUGUUGAUAAAUAAACGUGAUAAAGGGUUCAAAAUCA